ACUGUUAAUCUGUUGGGUAAAGGAAGAGUUCAUCGCUGAAACUUCUCUAAGCAUAUACCACUCCAGACAGCACUGGAUAUAAGGCAAUUCUAACAACAAAAAGAAAGCUUAACUUGGGAAUGUAUGUUGGCAAUACUGCUCCUGGUAACCAAGGAAAAUCCUUCAUGACACACAAAAUGAAACCCAUUACAGCUCUUUCAUGAAUGUGGCUUAAAGACUUAAAGAACAAAGACUGGCACAAGAGAUACAAACAGGAGAGCUGGAGAAAAGUGAGAAGAGAUGGCAUCAGGGGAAAAAAAUGUGCGUUUAAAAGGGGCUACUAGCCCCUUUUAAAGUGGGAAAAGCAGGUAGGUAGUAAACAGUAAAACACUGUUUAAAGCUGUCAUCGUGUGACACUUCUAUGUGACACCUUAGCUUGUGUGACAACUGGAUGAGGAAGCAGCCCUGUAAGUUAUUUUGGGUGGGUGAACCACUGUACCAAUGCAAAGACUGCAGACCCAUAAAAGCGCGUUUGAACGGGAUAUGGAUGAGAUAAAAAAAAUGGUCAA